CGGUGACAUAUACAGUAUUGACCUCCUAUAGCUCAUAUAGGGUGAUUAUAACCAGUUAGGAGAAGUACAAAGGCUUUACUGUAAUAGUUAAUAGUUUUCUCCUUCAUCUCUCCACCCAUCCUGCUGAUGACACAUGUAACCCCAUCUUCCCUUUAGAGGUAUACAGGCUGGCAACAGGAGCCAGUCAGCAGCCGGAGCCACUGUCCUGUCUAAGGGGACACCUCUAUACCAGCAUUUCAAAACGGGGGAGCCAACCUCAUUAAGGGCAAGUCAAUAAGAUUGAAGCAGGAAGCUCGAGGGAAACAUGAAUAGAUAACCCCAAAUGAAGGUCCAAUCCUGCAGUUGGGAAACACUUUUGGACAGAAGAAAAUGGAGGGAGGGAAAGAACAGGUCCAAUGAGG